rnacentral:lncRNA from 1 species
CUCCCCUUCAAAUUGAUCCGGUUUUCCAACUAAUCACAAACCGCAACCACCCAUUCACCUUACUACCCUUCAAAUUGAUCUGAUUGUUCGACUAAACAAACCCAUUUUGAAAAACGUCAGCGACUAGACUAGCCACCGUUCCACACUCUGCCAAAGAUUAGCACAACAUAUUUCAGAUCUAAGAGAAAUCGUUGAUGGUGAAGGGUGUGUGUGGUGGCGUCGUAGACGCCUGCAACGUCGUCGGCGGUGGUAGUUGUUUUGUUGUGGUGACGUGUUCGAAGAGGGCGACGGCUAGGUGGUGGUGAAGCUCCAAUUGUGAUGGUGAAGUCGAGCUGCGAUGAUGAUGGUAACGUUCUUCGUUGUCACCGAUGGUGAUGGGGUGAGAGAUCUCUCGCAUGGAAACAAAAGGCGGGGGACUGUGGUGCUGUAGAAAGAUUUCAGAGAUACCAAAAGGGUAGAGAGAAGCUUUGUGUGAAUUCAAUUUUUGAAUAAUUUUCUUUUUUAAGAUUCCGAAAUAAUGAACUUUAAUGUACGAUAACUUUUUUUUUUUUUUUGAACGGCUGAUUUCAUUAAAAAGAAAAAGCUAGCAAGAAAUGUACGAUAACUAUAAUGGAAAAAAACCCCUUAACUUGUGAUCCUUUAUGUUGGUUUGGAAGUAGCAAAAGCUAA